CCUACGGGGGGCAGCAGUGAGGAAUAUUGGUCAAUGGACGAGAGUCUGAACCAGCCAAGUAGCGUGAAGGAUGACUGCCCUAUGGGUUGUAAACUUCUUUUAUAUGGGAAUAAAAUGUUCCACGUGUGUGAUUUUGUAUGUACCAUAUGAAUAAGGAUCGGCUAACUCCGUGCCAGCAGCCGCGGUAAUACGGAGGAUCCGAGCGUUAUCCGGAUUUAUUGGGUUUAAAGGGAGCGUAGGUGGAUUGUUAAGUCAGUUGUGAAAGUUUGCGGCUCAACCGUAAAAUUGCAGUUGAAACUGGCAGUCUUGAGUACAGUAGAGGUGGGCGGAAUUCGUGGUGUAGCGGUGAAAUGCUUAGAUAUCACGAAGAACUCCGAUUGCGAAGGCAGUUCACUGGACUGCAACUGACACUGAGGCUCGAAAGUGUGGGUAUCAAACAGGAUUAGAUACCCUUGUAGUC
rnacentral:rRNA from 1 species